GUGAGGAGAUGGAAGACCUCCUGGAUAAACUUGAUGAACAGACAUCCAACAUUGUGUCCAACUUGCACUGAGAGGCCUGCCCAUUUUCCUCAAGAGAAGAUGCAACAGAGGUUUUCCUGAAGUGCUUAGACACUGACAUUUUGGAACCAGUGUUGAACGGUGCAUCAGGUGCCAUCCUCACCAUCCUACAAGAUGACGAUACGUCUGUGCGAGAACAUGCAGUUGGUUUGGAAGGGGACAUCGUGCUACAUAACAUUCCAGAUCUCUCUACUGCCCUGGCAUAGCUCUUUGGCCUUCUGUAUGCCC